ACUGUUGUAUAUUUAUUUUUUUAGUUAUUUUUAUUUUUAUUUUAUUUUUGUAAAAUGUUUUUAAUUUUUUUUUAUUUGAAUAAAUGUUUAAAAUUUGUUUUGUGAACUGGAUUAGUACCCAGGUAAUCAAAAUUUAUUAAUUCGGGAGUAAAGUUAUAUUUAAACCGAAAGAAUAUUGACUGACUUUAGAUUUUUCUUUGGAAUAUGUGUUAGGAGAGCCCUCCUUAUUGGUAUUUUUUUUUUGGCACAUGUAUGAUUGUUUUGUUGCUAUAUUAUUUGGAGGGCUUUAAACUUUUUUGUUUUAAAACAAAAAUAUACUUGGCUUAUAAAAUUUUUUCCCAAGGAUUACUAUUUUUAAUUUUUUUUGGAAAUUUUUUUUAUUUUUUUUUGAAAUUGGAAAAAAAAGUAAUUUAUUCUUUAAGGGUUUAAUGAAUUUAAAAAAAAAAGUGGUAAAACCCC
rnacentral:rRNA from 1 species